rnacentral:rRNA from 1 species
GGGGGGGGGGGGGGGGGGGGGGGGGGGGGGGGGGGGGGGCGGGGGGGCGGGGCGGGUGGGGGGUGCUCUGGUGGCGGGCUGGUGCGGAACCCGGGGGUAGCCUGCCCUUGGGUUUGGGAUCCCUUCAGGAAACUGGGGCUAAUCCCGGAUAGGAGCUCCUGCUGCACGGUGGGGGUUGGACAGUUUCGGCGGUUGGGGGUGGACUCGCGGCUUAUCAGCUGGUUGGUGGGGUCGUGGCUUCCCAAGGCUUUGCCGGGUAGCCGGCCUGAGAGGGUGACCGGACAAAUUGGGACGGAGAUACGGCCCAGACUCCUACGGGAGGCAGCAGUGGGGAAGAUGGCACAAUGGGCGGAAGCCUGAUGCAGCAACGCCGCGGGCGGGAUGACGGCCUUCGGGGUGUAAACCGCUUUCGCCUGUGCCGAAGCGUGAGUGACGGUAAUGGGUAAAGAAGCACCGGCUAACUACGUG